AGAAUAAAUUGAAAUCGAAUCGAAGACUAUAGUGUGGGUAGUGAGAACAAUCAGAAGAACGAAAGGGUAUAAAAUAUGCAGAAUAAAUAUAAACUAAGAGUAAAAGUAGAAGAAAAAUGUCGAGAUUAAACGAUGGUAUACAGCAAAUUGGUGCAAAUGUUUAUAUACAGAUAUAUAGCUGUACAAGACAUAUAGUGGAGUAUAUAGAGAUAACCUGAAUGCUAAGAACUGAUGGAGUAGGCCAAGGGGGCUGUUGCAGGCACAGCAGCAGUACUUGAAAAUAUGCGCGCAUGUAUUUAUGAGGCCAACCGACUGUCAGGCAAAUGAAAAGGCAGUGUGUGAAGGAAGGAGGGGAAUCAAGCACGACGGCAGGACGGGAGCGGUGGGCGAAGCAAAAAAAAAAAAAAAAAAAAACGAAUCAACGUAACAACUAGUGGUGGUAGCGAGAGUGGGAAACGUAAGGAGUGGAGCAGGGCAAAAGUGGGAACAAGUGAAUUACGGAACUGAAUGGCAAAAAAUCACAUUUGGGGGGAGGGAAGAAGACGGGUAUGGCGGUAGUUUGAUGGCAGUUAAAAGCGUUGGAGCGGUGGAGCGCUAGACCAUAAGUUGGGCGCUAAAACAAAUACACAUACACGCACAUACUUGCAUAGCUUGUAGACGAGGUAAUUAAAUAUAUCCGAGAGGAAAGAGUGUAUUGUAUGUGAGUGUGUAUGUUUGUAUGUAUGUAUGUAUUUAUGUCGAUUUGUAGUAGGCAUGAACGCAAAAGUUGUGUGAUGCGAUCGAAAGCGAGCAAAAAUGAAAUAAAGUAACAGGAAAAAAUCAUAUCACAAACAGCAAUCAACCAACCGAACAGUCAGUGGACAGUCUUAAAACAAAAUCAAGUACGGAAAAAAUAAUAAAAAUUCAUACGAGUGCCAAUCGUUUGCAAAUGUAUCCACUUGCAUGCAUGCUACAUACAUACAUACAUACAUACAAACGAGUAAAAUUGUAUCGCUUUGCAGCAACUGGCAACUGACGAGCAUGCAGCCAAGAGGGUGUGCAAGGAAGGCCAGGCAGGCGAAACAAAAAAAAAACAAAAACAACGAAACAAAAAGACAUCUGCAAACAGCACUUGGCACUCAGUGCAAAACAUUAAAUUGCAUGGGAGUAGUAGAGAGCGGUGCAGCGGGCUACCGAUAUUAGAGUCGCUCGGCUAUUUGGGGGCCGAGAGUAUAAGAAUGAGAGCGCAUACAUAUGCUGUGCAGAGGAACCAUUUGCGAAAAGUAAAAAAAAAAAAAAACAACCAAAAAAUAUCAGCAACAACAACAACAACAAAAACAAGUAGUGUUCAACGGGCGUUGCUAUUUCAAGAGGUUGCAGAGGGCUGCUAAGUGGUCGCGGGUUGGAUGAGGCGGUGUAUUUUAAUUGUGUUGUACUCGCAUUUACAUACAUACAUACAUACAUACAUACAUUCCUAAGUAGAUGCGAAUGUGUGUAUACUUAAAUUCGAAAACUUUGCCACGGUACAUGGAAAGUAUUUAAAAAAAAAAGCCACAUUUUCUUAAAGCGUUUCAUAUCUUUAAUUAGGUAAGUAUGUAUGUAAAUAUAUCUGUAUGUAUGUUUGUAGGUAUCUUUGCUUUAGUUUUAUUUUUAUGCUUGUAUUUUUAACGCUUCUCUUCGAAUAGUUGGUGAAAAUGAGACAAAAGUUGCUUAGUUAGGAUUGCAUUUUAAUAUGCACGAGUAAGUAGAUACAUAUGUACAUACAUAUCUUAUUUUCAAAUUCAAUUUGUUUAAUGUUGCUUAUUUAGUUUUUCACACUAAGGUGCGAAGAUUUAUCGGCUACGGCGAUUUAACUUAAUAAUUAUACUAUAUUCUCCAAUUAGGUUUGUUAUAUAUGCGUGGAACAAUAUGUACAAAUUCACAUACAUACAUACAUAUGUAUGUAUCUACUAUAUAUGUACACAUACAAUAUUCAAGAUAUUGUUUAUCAUAUCUACUUAUUACACACCUUUUGAAUAAUAAGCUAUAAUGAUAAUUUAAUAAUAUAUUAA